UACGUAGGGUGCAAGCGUUGUCCGGAAUUAUUGGGCGUAAAGAGCUCGUAGGCGGUUUGUCGCGUCUGCUGUGAAAACUCGGGGCUUAACCCCGGGCCUGCAGUGGGUACGGGCAGACUAGAGUGCGGUAGGGGAGACUGGAAUUCCUGGUGUAGCGGUGAAAUGCGCAGAUAUCAGGAGGAACACCGGUGGCGAAGGCGGGUCUCUGGGCCGCAACUGACGCUGAGGAGCGAAAGCAUGGGGAGCGAACAGG
rnacentral:rRNA from 1 species